AUUGAACGCUGGCGGAAUGCUUUACACAUGCAAGUCGAACGGCAGCACGGGUGCUUGCACCUGGUGGCGAGUGGCGAACGGGUGAGUAAUACAUCGGAACGUACCCAGUCGUGGGGGAUAACGUAGCGCAAGUUACGCUAAUACCGCAUCCGUCCUGAGGGAGAAAGCGGGGGACCGUAAGGCCUCGCGCGAUUGGAGCGGCCGGUGGCGGAUUAGCUAGUUGGGGGGGGAAAGGCCUACCAAGGCGACGAUCCGUAGCGGGUCUGAGAGGACGGCCCGCCACACUGGACCUGAGACACGGUCCAGACUCCUACGGGAGGCAGCAGUGGGGAAUUUUGGACAAUGGGCGAAAGCCUGAUCCAGCCAUUCCGCGUGAGUGAAGAAGGCCUUCGGGUUGUAAAGCUCUUUCGGCAGGGAAGAAACGGCUUGGGAUAAUACCCCGGGCUAAUGACGGUACCUGAAGAAGAAGCACCGGCUAACUACGUGCCAGCCGCCGCCGUAA
rnacentral:rRNA from 1 species